ensembl:lncRNA
GUUUUGAAUGCAAUUGUGUGUGAUGGGGAUGGAGCUGGACUCUGAGCCACACUCUUUUUACUCGGUUAGCCCACUAUUUUAUUUUGUCAUUCGGACUACUUCAAAUGAUGUACAAGUUUUAAUAAAAGCUAACUACUUCAGUGGAAUUCCAGACUAGCUCGUCAUUAGCAGCGGAUAAGAUCCCCAAAUGUGGGAAUUACCCCAGAGCAUCUGUACAUUUCUCUGGCCCUGGAGCCAGCAAGUCAAGGCUCCCAUGAGCCGUGUGAAGACGGUCUGGAGGCGAGGCAAGAAAUGUAACAUUGUGGACUCGUCCGGGAUUUAUCGUGCCCUCAUCGGUGAGUUAUUCACAUUCUACCUGGAAUAUCAAAGAGAAAAGAAAUAAGAGAAUUGGACUUUCACAAGCUAAGGGCUAACGAAGUUAAUCAUCAUUGUCUGAGUAGUGUCUGACAUUCUAGCUAAAGCAGUGAAUUGGCAAUAUGAAAUAUGUUAUUACGAGAAAUAAUUCGCCUGAGGAUUCGACGUGCUACUCAAACCCAUUCAUGUAGCUAAAUACAGUGAAUGAAGAAAGGUAAUCACAAAUCUCAUUUGCCGACUGGAUGAACAAAUUUGAUGUUGCAAAUGCUAACAGUAACUGCAAUCCAUUUAUGCCAAGUUCAGAGGUAGCUAAUAUGCAGGCCACCGCAGCUAAUAUGGCUGACUCAUGCCGUGAGGCAAAGACGUCUCCUCAACAGCCAAAGGGAGAAACAAAUCCAUUUAAGUACGUAGUGAAAAAUGGAAAUGUGGGUGACAGUGGAAUCGAAUCACAGCUAAGUCACAACCAAAACUAUGCCAGCUGGCAUGAUAGAUGCUCACCUAAAAAUGCUAUCACUGGAAAUGUUUCAACCAACUACUGAAAUGCUGCAUACUCCAUGCACUAACCCUUUCAACUCUGCCAACCACAGACUCUAUGCAGCGAGUACCCCUGUAGAUGCUGUUUACUCCUAUCACCCACACAGGAUCACAGCAGCUCUGCCCUCCCCUCCAGUUAUGCCUCCUGUGGAAAAUCACUGCUCACAGUCGCAGGACAGGCAUGGAUGUAUUCGGAGUGAUGCUCUGCCCAGUGAAGGAGUGCGACAUGAGUCCACGUGAAGUGAGCAUGGAGAGAGAUCCCAUCCAAACUUGCUGGUGCAUUGGUAGGAAAAUGGACAAAACAUAAUGGACUGUAAAGGACAGUGGUGGCUCAGGUAAGACAUUAUCUAGGGUCAUCCACUUUGAACAUGUGCCAUUAACCACGAACUGAAACACUAUCUGAAAGAAGAACAUGAAAUGCCAGGAAUGGAAGAAUGAAUGCGGUGAAGGGGAGUGGUCAACUGUGCCUGUAAUUUUUUAGGCUCAUCCAAAAUUGUUUAUUUGGGGUAUCAGGUUGAUUGUGGAGGUCUGCACACUGUGAAAUGUAUAGUAAUUUAGACUAAGAAUGUAUUGAGAUACCAAUCUGUCAUUACCACAAGUGAUGAGAAUAGUUAAUGCUGGAAAUAUAAGAUGAAUAUACUGUUUGUAAAUGUACAUUCUAACUGUGAUAGUGUGUGCUAAGUUGAGGGUCUUGAAUUUGAGUGAUAGACUCAACGUGAAGCACUAAGGACUGUCAUUUGAAAUGUAGGUUGUAUAACCAUGAUCGGGACAUUGUUAUCAGAAUACAAUAGUGUGUAAUUUGUCAUACUAUGCUGUUUUUUACUUAAAGAUUGUCCAUUGUUAUAUGCUAAUAUUUUUACUGAUACAAAGUUGUCUUGUGUGACUUGUCUCCCGUGUCUACGAUCGGCAGGAAUGUAGGUAUGUGGGAGUUGCAGUGAGAAACAGAAUGGUAGAGAUAUCAGCUAUCUUGAUCUGCACAGAAGAGCUAAAUUACAUUUUACAACUCUGUUCCCAGGCCCUGCACAUCUGCUAACAGACACAGAUAAGAGGAUGUACUUUCUAUAAAAGGAGAGAGCCAACUCUUGUUCGUUGGUCUUUCAGCAUUGAACUAAUUGAAUGAAGUUAAUUGCUCAAUUGUUGCACAUCUUAUAAUAAAGUAUUAUUGGAAGAAUCUACAGUCCCUCUCAUCCUUAGAAUUUCACGUCACACAAUCUAGACAAACUUCCUGCAACCAACAUUCCUCUCUCCAAAAUGAGUAAAGCACUUAAGAAUAGCUGUGUUGAGGCUGGAUUGGUGGAUAUCUG